rnacentral:rRNA from 1 species
AGGACGAACGCUGGCGGCGUGCCUAACACAUGCAAGUCGAACGAGGUCCAGUCUGUAGCAAUACAGAUGAAGACCUAGUGGCGAACGGGUGAGUAGCACGUGAGCAACCUGCCCCGAAGACCGGGACAACACCGGGAAACCGGUGCUAAUACCGGAUACCCCCACCGAGUCGCAUGGCUUGGUGAGGAAAUGGAUUCCGCUUCGGGAGGGGCUCGCGGCCUAUCAGCUUGUUGGUGAGGUAACGGCUCACCAAGGCUUCGACGGGUAGCUGGUCUGAGAGGACGAUCAGCCACACUGGGACUGAGACACGGCCCAGACUCCUACGGGAGGCAGCAGUGGGGAAUCUUGCACAAUGGGCGGAAGCCUGAUGCAGCAACGCCGCGUGAGGGACGAAGGCUUUCUGAGUUGUAAACCUCUUUCAGCAGGGACGAUUGUGACGGUACCUGCAGAAGAACGCCCCGGCAACUACGUGCCAGCAGCCGCGGUAA